CUGAAAUAGUUUAAGUAAAAAAUAUUGAUUUGUGGAAUCAAAGAUUAUGUUAUUUGUUUUGGUUU
rnacentral:tRNA from 1 species